UUGGGUCAUUUGUCCUAUAUGCGCAAAUCAAAAUCGGGCGGAUCUUUACUCGGAGUAGUGCAUAAACCUAAAAAAAUUGAAUAAAAAAUUGAUGAAACCCAUUCAGGAACAAGAAAAUGACAUCAUGAUUUGGAUUGAAUCCCAAUGAAAAAAAAUAGAUCAAUGAAAAGUUUCUGCGAUAAGUUUAGCGAAUUUUUUCUAUAUUAUAGAUUAUAGGAAAACGGGCCAAAACUUAUCUUUCUUUAUAAUCAUGACUCAAAAUCAUCAAAACCUACCGAUCUAGCCGAUGGAUAGUGUGAUGGAUCUCCG
rnacentral:lncRNA from 1 species